AUGAGAUAGAAAUCAUUACAAAGCGGAUUAAAAAUUGUAUUAUAGGUAGGUCAAGCUUCAUGAAGCACUUUGCAAAGGGAAAUUCUAAACAAACAUGAAGAGACACUUUAAUUCACUGAUGUAUCUCAUUUUUAAAUUUGGACAGAAGCUAGAAUCCUCAGGAACAUCGAUAAUGGAACUUGAUCUUUAAGAUCUUUUCCAACCCAAGCAAUUCUAUCAUUCUAUGAAUUAACAAAGUACUAUUUCAAUAAUAUGGUAAGGAUGUGCAAGUUACAAUCUAAAUUAUUCAAAGCUAGAAGAAAAAGAAAACAUGACAAAACAAUAAAGACAGUGAAUAUAGCCAGUAAUAACUUUAACAGCUAUCCACUCUCAACCUAAGAUCCAAGUACUUUUUCUUAGUCUGUUUAAAAAUAAAAAAUAAAUUGAUUACUAUUUUAUUCAGGUUGCUAAGUUGCACUGAGAGGAAUCCAGCCAAACACAUGUGAAGGAGAAAAACCCUUCACUUAUGAGUAUAUCUUGCAGAUCCUUUUCAGUCAAUUGCAGGUCAUUUCAUGCAUACCAGUUUGCAAAAAUACAAAUAACUAGAUUUCCAAAAGAAAAAAAAAAAAAAAGUUUAGUUCAAUUAAUCUCAGUGACAAGAACUGAACAAGAUUCUUCCUCAGUCCUCAUUUGAAAAUAUCCUUUUUUUUUUUUGUGCUCUUCUUUAGAAAGGUUACCUUCACAGUUAAUACUGGUGCUAAGAAUCACGAUGUACUGAUGAAAAGAGCUAAUAUUCAAACUUCCUAAUCUUCUGAGAGUCAGAGCUUCGUGCUCAAGUAAACUUGGUGCUUUACUGAAACCUCUUUAUCCUCACUGAUACCACAAUAAGAAGCUUAAAUACAAGCAGGCAAAGUGCAGAGAAGACUUUCAAGAGCUAAGUAUUUAAAAUAAAAAAGAAGUCUUUAAUCCUUCAAAAAGGGUUUUGAAAUGUUCCAUCAACAGUGACUUUGAUAGACAAAUUAGAGGAAUUUCUGACUGUGACACUUCCUGUUUACUCAGACUGACAGUAAUGGCAUUUUACAGCAUUAAAUGCUCCAGAGGCUUUUUUUUUUUUCCUUUUUACUGAUGAAAGAAUUUGGUAUUUCUAGUAUUACUGUUACAAUACGCUACUUAUCAUAACACUUGAUAGAGAGAUCUGUAAUUCAACAGAGUGCAUUAAGCAUUUCAGAUGGAUAAAAAUAGUUGUUUAUUGCACAUCUAUCCAAAGUGCAUUUCUCUCUCAAUUCAGUUUCCGAGUAUUCUGAAGAGAGCAUUCCCAGAAAUUUAACUAAACUUCUUAAUUCAAAGAAGAUAAGCAAACAGUAUUGUUAGCAAGGUGAAGUUACUUAUGUAAGAAAUGGAUGAGAGUAGUUUGAUUAGAAUUAAAAUAAAAAGGUUGAUGCUAAUUUUGUUCCAAUUGCAUUGCCCAUUUUCUGUGCAUGCAGUUAUGACAAUCUACAGGCAAGUAUGGACUACUUAUAAUUGUUAUGAAGUUUUAUCUCUGCAUCAUCUUUGAAGAUGUGAAGCAUUAUGCAAACACUAAUCAUUCUAACAAAUAUGCCACAAGACAGAUCCAAACCUGCUAGGUAGGAGAUCAAUGAAACAUACUGGAUUGAGAAGUUAAUUAUAGUUCAAGAAAUGUAGUUAAGAACUAAACCUAAACCAAAUCAGGAACAAGUUUAAAUACCUCAUUUCAUCUAUUUUAGAAAAAGCAAGUGUAACAGUAGAAUAUUCUUCAUAUUUAUAAUCACAAUAUAUCAUGUUAAAAACAAUUUCCUUUCCUUCACAGAUAUAUAAAACUGUUCUGAUAUGCAGAACAUUUUGCCAUGAACUUAUUUACUUAGGAUGCAAACUUCUGAGCUUCUGACAUAUAAGUCAGAUCUUCUCUGUGUGCACACACGCACUAAAUGAGGUAAUUUUUGCUCUAACCAGUCUAUUACAAGCUUGAAACUGAAGUUAUUUCUCAUAUAAAGCCUUCACUUUGCUGAUGCUUUCUAAGAAACUUUUUUUAAGUGACUGCACCAUUUUGAAAGGUCAUUUUUAAUUCUGCCAGCAAAUUUGCAACGUAUGCAUUUUAUUCACACUCUAAUGACAUCCCUCUGUAGCACAGAUACUUCAGCUCUUCUCACUCUAACUAAAUUUCCGUUAUGAGCAACAUUUCUUUCAAUAUCUUCACAUCCAUAUAAAAUUUGAGCUGAAGCUGGGUAUCGCAUUGAAUCCUAAGCUUAGAGAUACUAAGCCUAAGCUGCACGUCCAUCUGGACACUGAGAUAGAGGUAUUUGAGCAGAACUUCCCUUUCCAACCUCCCACCCUUUGAUGUUUCAGCCACCAUGGAUGACUAACUAAAAAUUCAAACAGAUUUCCUAAUUGUAUAAUUCAAUUAACUGUUUCCACAGCAAGAAGUCUUCCCCUACCACAUUUCUGUAAUUCCGAGCUAAGUUUAACCCUUAUGAAAAUGACUAGUAUAAAAGCUGAGACAGACUCAUUUAUUCAAUGUCUAAAAGCCAUGGAAAAAGCUGCAAGGUGCGAAGGCUCUGUGAUGCUGUGGGAGGAGAAUAUUUGUAAUGAUGCCAGCUGUCUCUGUUCCUCUCUGCUGUGAAAUGACCCUUGCUGCUUCUCCAAUAUGUUCCAUGGUCUUUCACCAACAGACGGAGAAGCACCAGGGAAACAGGCAAACAGAGAAGUUGAUGGGUGCCAAGGGCUUGCUGCACAAAGCCAAGGCCCUCUGUGCACCUAUGGCAUGGUAUGCACAGGAACAAAGCACAUCAAGGACACAUCUAUACUAAGGAAUGGGCAGAACAAAAAGAAAGAUGAGGGAACAGUUCAUGUCCUGAGGGAGGUCGACUUCCUGAGCCAGACGGUUUCGUGUGCUCAGUGAUGCUGUGCCUAGCAGGUGGUGGUGGUGGUGGUAGUGAAGGAGGAGGAGAUCAGCUGUAACAAACCAGACCAGUUAACUGACCUGCCAGAAAAGACGACUUUCUUAAGCAUAUGGAGUCAACUAUAAUCAAGAUUGUCUGCUAGGGCAUUGAAGCACUCAAGAUCAUAAAGCUAAGACAACUGUGUAACAUUCACAUCCAUGCAAUGAAGGUUAUAUCAUCACUUCAACAAUUCUGUUUCUCACAGUUUUUAACUUGCAUGCAAGGAGUGAUCUUUUAUUCAUGUUAUACAUGUCCAAUUGAAAAGGUCUAAAAAAAUCAUAAGUGGCUUAUUUUGUAAUGAGAGAUGUAUUGAACUUUAUUGAUAGUGGGUUCUUGACAUUGUAUUAUGACAGAGAGAGAAAAAAGGCAAUAUGUCACCACAUUCUUUAACAGAAAAAAGCCUGGCCUUUGUAGAUCAAUAAUUGGUUUCAGUAUCAAUCUUUUGACCUACAGGAUGAGUAAGGAAUUGGCCCUUUUUUCUCCCAAGACUUAUUCUCUUCAUUCCAGACAUUUAGAUUUUCUUUAUGAUUGAAAGAUCAAGAAGUUCACCACGAAUGACAUAGCCUUCAGAUGUCAUGUUCUUUGGCUCAAAAUCUCCCUGCUAUAAUCUAUUAAUAAUUAAUAAGUGUGAGAGUUUGGAGAGAAUACUUUAGAGAAUAUGUUUAAAGCAAAAGAGCCUUAUUCCAUGCGAGUAACAAAAAAGUUAUCUUCUUGAGAAGUGGUAUUUGAAAGCAAUAUCAUAUCACAGAGACACAAUACAGUGAACUUCACAGGUAUAUGAUUGUGGUGGUUAAGUGAAACAGAAGCAUAAAUAACACAAGCUUGAAAAGAUGAAACAUUUUAGAUAUCUUGCAACCAUCACUGUAAAUGUUUAAUACAAUUAAAUUCUGGAGAAAAACAGACUUUAGUGAAUAAGUUGCUUUCAAGA